CCCGAGCUAAUAUCGAGGCCAAUAGCGGGAAUAGAAGCUCAAAAGGAGAGAAUGACAGAUAAUGAUUCAGACACUAACGUUGAAGCUGAUCAAGCAUCAAUAAAAGUGCAGGAUCUGGAGAACAAUGUUUCUUCACUAGAAAGGUUGUGGGAGAAAGAAAAGUUGCUACGUCGGCAUUAAUAGAAACAAUGGAAGAACAGGAUAAGCUUAAGAUCCAAAUUGAUCAGAUGGGAG
rnacentral:lncRNA from 1 species